CGUUCUUUCUUCUCUCAUUCAUUUACAGUUUCCUCGCCAGGGAACAAACAAUACAACUAAAGUUGGGACCUUAUAUAUAGAGCAAUAUUUGUGCCUAAUUAUCUCUACCUAUCUGCACUGAUCUCAAUUUAGAUUUCAGUUUUUCAUAAUUCUACAUAGGUAGAGAUAGCAAUAUGAUUUAGUUUAGGUAUAUGAUUCUUCGCUUUCCGAUUCCGAACAUUUCCUAUUCAAACAAAGGCAUAUCAAACCAAGUUAGUUACUAAGGAGCAGAUGCAAGGGUUCAAAAACUACAUGAAAAAAGAUCUGUAAAUUUGGAAGAAGAGGCUAAGGAAGGCAAAUAAAGUCCCAAGUAGCUCUUUUCUCUUCAUUG